rfam:Helianthus annuus linkage group 11, whole genome shotgun sequence.
AGAGAGAAAGAUGGUCAGGUUAGCCAAGAAGACUGCCUGAUAACCGACCAAACAAAGAGUCUUAGAACAUCAUCGGUCUAGAAAAGACCAGAACCACCCUUUGAAUGGAAGAAACAGGCAAGUCAUUCUUGGCUACCAAACAAACUGUCUCUU